CUUGCGGUUAUAUCACGUUGAAAAACCGGUUGUUGUAUGAUCACCGAAGUUAAGAAAAGGUGAGCUUGGUCAGUACCUAGAUGGGUAACCACUUGGGAAUAACAGGUGCUGUAAG